rnacentral:rRNA from 1 species
GACGAACGCUGGCGGCGUGCUUAACACAUGCAAGUCGAACGGAAAGGCCCUGCUUUUGUGGGGUGCUCGAGUGGCGAACGGGUGAGUAACACGUGAGUAACCUGCCCUUGACUUUGGGAUAACUUCAUGAAACUUGGGCUAAUACCGGAUAGGAGCUCCUGCUGCAUGGUGGGGGUUGGAAAGUUUCGGCGGUUGGGGAUGGACUCGCGGCUUAUCAGCUUGGUGGUGGGGUAGUGGCUUACCAAGGCUUUGACGGGUAGCCGGCCUGAGAGGGUGACCGGCCACAUUGGGAAUGAGAUACGGCCCAGACUCCUACGGGAGGCAGCAGUGGGGAAUAUUGGACAAUGGGCGGAAGCCUGAUGCAGCAACGCCGCGUGCGGGAUGACGGCCUUCGGGUUGUAAACCGCUUUCGCCUGUGACGAAGAGUGAGUGACGGUAAUGGGUAAAGAAGCACCGGCUAACUACGUG